CCCUAGCCCUGAUUGACACGGCAUCCUUUUGGGUUGGCGUGAGGCGGCGGAGCGGAGCGGAGCCGUCCGAGCACCAACACAAAAGAUAUAGUGGAAAGCAGGUUCUCGG
rnacentral:sRNA from 1 species